GAUGAACGCUAGCUACAGGCUUAACACAUGCAAGUCGAGGGGCAGCAUGAAAGGAACUUCGGUUCUUUUUGAUGGCGACCGGCGCACGGGUGCGUAACGCGUAUCGAACCUGCCUCAUACUCGGGGAUAGCCUUGCGAAAGUAAGAUUAAUACCCGGCGGUCUCGGAUGGCCGCAUGACUGUCCGAGUGAAGAUUUAUCGGUAUGAGAUGGCGAUGCGUCCCAUUAGCUUGUUGGUGAGGUAACGGCUCACCAAGGCAUCGAUGGGUAGGGGUUCUGAGAGGAAGGUCCCCCACAUUGGAACUGAGACACGGUCCAAACUCCUACGGGAGGCAGCAGUGAGGAAUAUUGGUCAAUGGACGAAAGUCUGAACCAGCCAAGUAGCGUGCAGGAAGACGGCCCUCUGGGUUGUAAACUGCUUUUAGUUGGGAAUAAAAAGAGGGACGUGUCCCUUAUUGUAUGUACCAUCAGAAAAAGGACCGGCUAAUUCCGUGCCAGCAGCCGCGGUAAUACGGAAGGUCCAGGCGUUAUCCGGAUUUAUUGGGUUUAAAGGGAGCGCAGGCGGCGGCGUAAGUCAGUUGUGAAAUCGUGCGGCUUAACCGUGCAAUUGCAGUUGAUACUGCGUCGCUUGAGUGCACACAGGGAUGUUGGAAUUCAUGGUGUAGCGGUGAAAUGCUUAGAUAUCAUGAAGAACUCCGAUCGCGAAGGCAUAUGUCCGGAGUGCAACUGACGCUGAGGCUCGAAAGUGUGGGUAUCAAACAGG
rnacentral:rRNA from 1 species